rnacentral:rRNA from 1 species
GUAGCCGACCUGAGAGGGUGAUCGGCCACAUUGGAACUGAGACACGGUCCAAACUCCUACGGGAGGCAGCAGUGGGGAAUAUUGCACAAUGGGCGAAAGCCUGAUGCAGCAACGCCGCGUGAGUGAUGAAGGCCUUCGGGUCGUAAAACUCUGUCCUCAAGGAAGAUAAUGACGGUACUUGAGGAGGAAGCCCCGGCUAACUACGUGCCAGCAGCCGCGGUAAUACGUAGGGGGCUAGCGUUAUCCGGAUUUACUGGGCGUAAAGGGUGCGUAGGCGGUCUUUCAAGUCAGGAGUGAAAGGCUACGGCUCAACCGUAGUAAGCUCUUGAAACUGGGAGACUUGAGUGCAGGAGAGGAGAGUGGAAUUCCUAGUGUAGCGGUGAAAUGCGUAGAUAUUAGGAGGAACACCAGUUGCGAAGGCGGCUCUCUGGACUGUAACUGACGCUGAGGCACGAAAGCGUGGGGAGCAAACAGG